GAGUUUGAUCCUGGCUCAGAUUGAACGCUGGCGGCGUGCCUAACACAUGCAAGUCGAACGAGAAAGUCCCUUCGGGGGCGAGUACAGUGGCGCACGGGUGAGUAACGCGUGGAUAAUCUACCCAAAGGUCUGGAAUAACAGUUGGAAACGACUGAUAAUACCGGAUGUACUGGAAACGGGAAAGGUGGCCUCUGCUUGCAAGCUACUGCCUUUGGAUGAGUCCGCGUCUCAUUAGCUAGACGGUAGGGUAACGGCCUACCGUGGCAACGAUGAGUAGCAGGCCUGAGAGGGUGGCCUGCCACACUGGGACUGGAACACGGCCCAGACUCCUACGGGAGGCAGCAGUGGGGAAUAUUGCGCAAUGGGGGAAACCCUGACGCAGCGACGCCGCGUGGAGGAUGAAGGCUUUCGGGUCGUAAACUCCUGUCAAGAGGGAAGAAACCUGUGAAGAGUAAUAUGCUUCGCAAUUGACGGUACCUCUAGAGGAAGCACCGGCUAAUUCCGUGCCAGCAGCCGCGGUAAUACGGAAGGUGCAAGCGUUAAUCGGAAUCACUGGGCGUAAAGCGCUCGUAGGUUGCUUUGUAAGUCAGGUGUGAAAUCCCACGGCUCAACCGUGGAAUUGCACUUGAUACUGCAUUGCUUGAGUUCGGGAGAGGGUAGUGGAAUUCCAGGUGUAGGAGUGAAAUCCGUAGAGAUCUGGAGGAACACCGGUGGCGAAGGCGACUACCUGGACCGAUACUGACACUGAGGAGCGAAAGCGUGGGGAGCAAACAGGAUUAGGUACCCUGGUAGUCCACGCUGUAAACGAUGGAUACUAGGUGUCGGGGGCUUGACCUUCGGUGCCGUAGCUAACGCGUUAAGUAUCCCGCCUGGGGAGUACGGUCGCAAAGGCUGAAACUCAAAGAAUUUGACAGGGGCCCGCACAAGCGGUGGGAGUAUGUGGGUUUAAUUCGAUGCAACGCGAAGAACCUUUACCUAGGCUUGACAUCCCUGGAACCUUUCCCGAAAAGGAGGGGUGCUCUUCGGAGACCAGGAGACAGUUGCUGCAUGCUGUCGUCAGCUCGUGCGUGGAGGUGAUGGAUAA
rnacentral:rRNA from 1 species